GUGGGGAAUUUUGGACAAUGGGCGCAAGCCUGAUCCAGCAAUGCCGCGUGCAGGAAGAAGGCCUUCGGGUUGUAAACUGCUUUUGUACGGAACGAAACGGUUCUGGUUAAUACCCGGGGCUAAUGACGGUACCGUAAGAAUAAGCACCGGCUAACUACGUGCCAGCAGCCGCGGUAAUACGUAGGGUGCAAGCGUUAAUCGGAAUUACUGGGCGUAAAGCGUGCGCAGGCGGUGCUGUAAGACAGGCGUGAAAUCCCCGGGCUUAACCUGGGAAUUGCGCUUGUGACUGCAGUGCUGGAGUGCGGCAGAGGGGGAUGGAAUUCCGCGUGUAGCAGUGAAAUGCGUAGAUAUGCGGAGGAACACCGAUGGCGAAGGCAAUCCCCUGGGCCUGCACUGACGCUCAUGCACGAAAGCGUGGGGAGCAAACAGGAUUAGAUACCCGAGUAGUCC
rnacentral:rRNA from 1 species